UGGGGAAUAUUGGACAAUGGGCGGAAGCCUGAUCCAGCAACGCCGCGUGAGGGAUGACGGCCUUCGGGUUGUAAACCUCUUUCAGCACAGACGAAGCGCAAGUGACGGUAUGUGCAGAAGAAGGACCGGCCAACUACGUGCCAGCAGCCGCGGUAAUACGUAGGGUCCGANCGUUGUCCGGAAUUNUUGGGCGUAAAGGGCUCGUAGGCGGUUUGUCGCGUCGGGAGUGAAAAGCACCGGGCUUAACUCGGUGCUUGCUUUCGAUACGGGCAGACUAGAGGUAUUCAGGGGGAGAACGGAAUUCCUGGUGUAGCGGUGAAAUGCGCAGAUAUCAGGAGGAACACCGGUGGCGAAGGCGGUUCUCUGGGAAUAUCCUGACGCUGAGGAGCGAAAGUGUGGGGAGCGAACAGGAUU
rnacentral:rRNA from 1 species